rnacentral:rRNA from 1 species
GAUGAACGCUGGCGGCGUGCCUAAUACAUGCAAGUCGAGCGAACGGACGAGAAGCUUGCUCCUCUGAUGUUAGCGGCGGACGGGUGAGUAACACGUGGAUAACCUACCUAUAAGACUGGGAUAACUUCGGGAAACCGUAGCUAAUACCGGAUAAUAUUUUGAACCGCAUGGUUCAAAAGUGAAAGACGGUCUUGCUGUCACUUAUAGAUGGAUCCGCGCUGCGUUAGCUAGUUGGUAAGGUAACGGCUUACCAAGGCAACGAUGCAUAGCCGACCUGAGAGGGUGAUCGGCCACACUGGAACUGAGACACGGUCCAGACUCCUACGGGAGGCAGCAGUAGGGAAUCUUCCGCAAUGGGCGAAAGCCUGACGGAGCAACGCCGCGUGAGUGAUGAAGGUCUUCGGAUCGUAAAACUCUGUUAUUAGGGAAGAACAUAUGUGUAAGUAACUGUGCACAUCUUGACGGUUCCUAAUCAGAAAGCCACGGCUAACUACGUG